rnacentral:rRNA from 1 species
GACGAACGCUGGCGGCGUGCUUAACACAUGCAAGUCGAACGGAAAGGCCCUGCUUUUGUGGGGUGCUCGAGUGGCGAACGGGUGAGUAACACGUAAGUAACCUGCCCUUGACUUUGGGAUAACUUCAGGAAACUGGGGCUAAUACCGGAUAGGAGCUCCUGCUGCAUGGUGGGGGUUGGAAAUUUUCGGCGGUUGGGGAUGGACUCGCGGCUUAUCAGCUUGUUGGUGGGGUAGUGGCUUACCAAGGCUUUGACGGGUAGCCGGCCUGAGAGGGUGACCGGCCACAUUGGGACUGAGAUACGGCCCAGACUCCUACGGGAGGCAGCAGUGGGGAAUAUUGUACAAUGGGCGGAAGCCUGAUGCAGCAACGCCGCGUGCGGGAUGCCGGCCUUCGGGUUGUAAACAGCUUUCGCCUGUGACGAAGCGUGAGUGACGGUAAUGGGUAAAGAAGCACCGGCUAACUACGUG